rnacentral:rRNA from 1 species
UACGUGGGGUGCUAGCGUUGUUCGGAAUUACUGGGCGUAAAGCGCACGUAGGCGGCUUUGCAAGUCAGAGGUGAAAGCCCGGGGCUCAACUCCGGAAUUGCCUUUAAAACUGCAUCGCUAGAAUUGUGGAGAGGUAAGUGGAAUUCCGAGUGUAGAGGUGAAAUUCGUAGAUAUUCGGAAGAACACCAGUGGCGAAGGCGACUUACUGGACGACUGUUGACGCUGAGGUGCGAAAGCGUGGGGAGCAAACAGG